GACGUAGGGCGCGAGCGUUGUCCGGAAUUAUUGGGCGUAAAGAGCUCGUAGGCGGUUUGUUGCGUCGGCUGUGAAAUCCCGAGGCUCAACCUCGGGUCUGCAGUCGAUACGAGCAAACUAGAGUGUUGCAGGGGAGACUGGAAUUCCUGGUGUAGCGGUGAAAUGCGCAGAUAUCAGGAGGAACACCGGUGGCGAAGGCGGUGGUCUGGGCCGACACUGACGCUGGAGGAGCGAAAGCGUGGGGAGCGAACAGG
rnacentral:rRNA from 1 species